ACGGAGGGUGCAAGCGUUAAUCGGAAUUACUGGGCGUAAAGCGCAUGCAGGCGGUUUGUUAAGUCUGAUGUGAAAUCCCCUGGCUCAACCUUGGAACUGCAUCGGAUACUGGCAAGCUUGAGUCUCGUAGAGGGGGGUAGAAUUCCAGGUGUAGCGGUGAAAUGCGUAGAGAUCAGAAGGAAUACCGAUGGCGAAGGCGGCCUCCUGGACGAAGACUGACGCUCAGGUGCGAAAGCGUGGGGAGCAAACAG
rnacentral:rRNA from 1 species